GCAAUUCGGCAUGGUCUGAUUUAUAUUGAUUGUCUUGUUUGUGUUUUGGUAUAAACUUUUAUUAUUUAAUUGAAGAAUCAUUGGGGUUAUUGUAUUUUUGUGAUUUAAUUUUUUAUACUAUAGAUUAUUUGUACCGUGAGGGGUUGUGAUAUUUUAUUUAAUGUUUUUUAGGAAGUUGACUUUUUUUGUCGUACCUUGUGUAUCAGGGUUCAUUGAAUUUUAUUAUUUAUGUUUUAUUUCCCGAUUUUAAAGGAGUUAAUGGUUUAUGUUAGUUACUGUUUCACCAGUAUUAAUAAUAGGUUGUUGGUAGUGAAAUGUUAUUCGUCUUUAGUGGUUUCUGGUUUUUCAAGAAAUGAAUUUAAUUCAUGUGUCUUAUUUAAUUUCUGUUGUUUUUAUACUUAUUUUUAUUUGAUACUAAGAUUAAGGGGGAUUAGCUCCUUGUUUUGUUUUUAUAAUUAUUUAUUUUGAUUUAGUUUUGUGGAUUUUAUAGUGAUUUUCAAUUUGAUUAUGUUAAAAUUUUGUUAUUUAUCUUGUUUAUUUUUAAAUGUAAUUUAAGGUUUUAUUGAAAUGUUUUUUUUAUUUUUGGUUGAGUAGUAAUUAUUGUGUAAUUAGUAAAUUUGGGGUUUGAUGUUAUAUAUUUAGGAUGAUGAAUGUAUAAUUUCUUUUGAGGAAUUAGGCAAAGGGUUUACAUGUCCGCCUGUUUAACAAAAACAUCUUUUCUUGUUAGUUUUUGAAGUAUGGCCUGCCCACUGACGUUUAUAGAGGUUGAAGGGCCGCGGUAUUUUGACCGUGCAAAGGUAGCAUAAUCAUUAGUUCUUUAAUUGUGAUCUGGUAUGAAUGGCUUGACGAGACAUGAGCUGUCUUAGAAGGAUAUUGUUUAUUGAAUUUAGUUUUUGAGUUAAAAUUCUUAAAUGUUUUUAUGGGACGAGAAGACCCUAUAGAGUUUGACGCCUAAUACUUCUUUAUUGUUUUGGUUUGUUUUUCUAUUUUGAGUUGAUUAGGCGUUUUGUUGGGGUGAUGGGAGGAAUAAAAUUUAACUCCUCUUUGAUUUUUUAUAUUUAUUUAUAUUUAUUUUGAUCCAUUUAUUUUGAUUAUAAGAUUAAAUUACCUUAGGGAUAACAGCGUUAUCCUCCUUGAGAGUUCUUAUUGGCAGGGGGGUUUGCGACCUCGAUGUUGGAUUAAGGUGAAUUUUCGGUGCAGGAGCUGAAAGUGAUUAGGUCUGUUCGACCUUUAAAAUCUUACAUGAUCUGAGUUCAGACCGGCGUGAGCCAGGUUGGUUUCUAUCUAUAAUGUAAUUUUAUACCUUAGUACGAGAGGACCGGGUAUUUUGAAUAAUUUUAUUUCAUUGUGAUUUUCAUUAAUUUGUUACUAUUUUGGCAGAUAAGUGCAU
rnacentral:rRNA from 1 species